UACGGAGGGGGCUAGCGUUGUUCGGAAUUACUGGGCGUAAAGCGCACGUAGGCGGACCAGAAAGUCAGGGGUGAAAUCCCGGGGCUCAACCCCGGAACUGCCCUUGAAACUCCUGGUCUUGAGUUCGAGAGAGGUGAGUGGAAUUCCGAGUGUAGAGGUGAAAUUCGUAGAUAUUCGGAGGAACACCAGUGGCGAAGGCGGCUCACUGGCUCGAUACUGACGCUGAGGUGCGAAAGCGUGGGGAGCAAACAGGAUUAGAAACCCUCGUAGUCC
rnacentral:rRNA from 1 species